rnacentral:rRNA from 1 species
AUUGAACGCUGGCGGCAGGCCUAACACAUGCAAGUCGAACGAGUGGCGUACGGGUGAGUUAUGUCUGGGAAUCGGCCUGCUGGAGGGGGUUCACUACUGGAAGCUGUUGCUAUUACCGCAUUGCAUCGGAUGUGUCCGGUUGGGUAUAGCUUGUUGGUGGGGUAACGCCUCACCAAGGCGACGAUCCCUAACUGGUCUGAGAGGAUGACCAGCCACACUGGAACUGAGACACGGUCCAGACUCCUACGGGAGGCAGCAGUGGGGAAUAUUGCACAAUGGGCGCAAGCCUGAUGCAGCCAUGCCGCGUGUAUGAAGAAGGCCUUCGGAUUGUAAAGUACUUUCAGCGGGGAGGCGUUACCCACAGAAGAAGCACCGGCUAACUCCGUGCCAGCAGCCGCGGUAAUAC